UAUUUAUUUCUAUUCAACCCAUAUUGAAACUCAUGUGUAAUGGAUUCAUGGAAAUAUCUAAUAAAAGAUAAAUAUACAUUUUUCACGAAAAAACAUGCAUUUUUCACAAAAAAACCCGAAAAAUAAACUAUAGUGCAUUGAAAACUCUUAAAAACUAAAUUAUCUUUUUUAAAGACAUCACAAUUUGUAAACAUCAAAAUUAAUAUUUUUAAUUACUUUCGAGUUUUCUAUUAAUAAUUAUAGAUAAAUUUUAUAUAUAGUUUGUUUUUUGAAAAAUUCUUUCUAAUGCCCUUUUCAUGAUGCCCUUUUUCAACUCUACCCUUUUGUUUUAUCUAUUUUUAUUUCUACCCUCUCUAAAUUUUUAAUGAGCAUUUUACCCUUAUUUGGAAAUUAUUUUAAGUUAACAAAAUAAAAUAUUAA
rnacentral:sRNA from 1 species